rnacentral:rRNA from 1 species
UUCCGGUUGAUCCCGCCGGACCUGACUGCUAUCGGAUUGAUACUAAGCCAUGCGAGUCAUUGUAGCAAUACAAGGCAGACGGCUCAGUAACGCGUAGUCAACCUAACCUAUGGACGGGAAUAACCUCGGGAAACUGAGAAUAAUGCCCGAUAGAACACUAUGCCUGGAAUGGUUUGUGUUCCAAACGAUUUAUCGCCGUAGGAUGGGACUGCGGCCUAUCAGUUUGUUGGUGAGGUAAUGGCCCACCAAGACUAUUACAGGUACGGGCUCUGAGAGGAGUGGCCCGGAGAUGGGUACUGAGACACGGACCCAGGUCCUAUGGGGCGCAGCAGGCGAGAAAACUUUGCAAUGUGCGAAAGCACGACAAGGUUAAUCCGAGUGGUUUCUGCUAAAGAAACCUUUUGUCGGUCCUAGAAACACCGAUGAAUAAGGGGUGGGCAAGUUCUGGUGUCAGCCGCCGCGGUAAAACCAGCACCUCAAGUGGUCAGGAUGAUUAUUGGGCCUAAAGCAUCCGUAGCCUGCUUUGUUAGUUUUCGGUUAAAUCUGUACGCUCAACGUACAGGCUGCCGGGAAUACUGCAAAGCUAGGGAGUGGGAGAGGUAGACGGUACUCGGUAGGAAGGGGUAAAAUCCUUUGAUCUAUUGAUGACCACCUGUGGCGAAGGCGGUCUACCAGAACACGUCCGACGGUGAGGGAUGAAAGCUGGGGGAGCAAACCGGAUUAGAUACCCGGGUAGUCCCAGCUGUAAACCAUGCAAACUCAGUGAUGCAUUGGCUUGUGGCCAAUGCAGUGCUGCAGGGAAGCCGUUAAGUUUGCCGCCUGGGAAGUACGUACGCAAGUAUGAAACUUAAAGGAAUUGGCGGGGGAGCACCACAAGGGGUGAAGCCUGCGGCUCAAUUGGAGUCAACGCCGGG